AACGAACGCUGGCGGCGCGUCUUAAGCAUGCAAGUCGAACGGCAAGAGAGGAGCUUGCUUCUCUCCUAGAGUGGCGGACUGGUGAGGAACACGUGGGUAAUCUACCCUUAAGAUGGGGAUAGCUGCUAGAAAUAGCAGGUAAUACCGAAUACACUCGGCAUAUCACAAGAGGUGUUGAGGAAAGGAAGCUACGGCUUCGCUUGAGGAUGAGCUUGCGUCCCAUUAGCUAGUUGGUGAGGUAAAGGCCCGCCAAGGCGACGAUGGGUAUCCGGCCUGAGAGGGUGAACGGACACAUUGGGACUGAGAUACGGCCCAAACUCCUACGGGAGGCAGCAGCUAAGAAUAUUCCGCAAUGGACGGAAGUCUGACGGAGCGACGCCGCGUGGAUGAAGAAGGCUGAAAAGUUGUAAAAUCCUUUUGUUGAUGAAGAAUAAGGGUGAGAGGGAAUGCUCAUCUGAUGACGGUAAUCGACGAAUAAGCCCCGGCUAAUUACGUG
rnacentral:rRNA from 1 species